rnacentral:rRNA from 1 species
UGAAGCGUGGACGCCAGUCUGCGUGGAGCCGACCUUGAAAUACCACCCUUUAAUGUUUGAUGUUCUAACGUGGACCCGUGAUCCGGGUUGCGGACAGUGUCUGGUGGGUAGUUUGACUGGGGCGGUCUCCUCCUAAAGAGUAACGGAGGAGCACGAAGGUUGGCUAAUCCUGGUCGGACAUCAGGAGGUUAGUGCAAUGGCAUAAGCCAGCUUGACUGCGAGCGUGACGGCGCGAGCAGGUGCGAAAGCAGGUCAUAGUGAUCCGGUGGUUCUGAAUGGAAGGGCCAUCGCUCAACGGAUAAAAGGUACUCCGGGGAUAACAGGCUGAUACCGCCCAAGAGUUCAUAUCGACGGCGGUGUUUGGCACCUCGAUGUCGGCUCAUCACAUCCUGGGGCUGAAGUAGGUCCCAAGGGUAUGGCUGUUCGCCAUUUAAAGUGGUACGCGAGCUGGGUUUAGAACGUCGUGAGACAGUUCGGUCCCUAUCUGCCGUGGGCGCUGGAGAACUGAGGGGGGCUGCUCCUAGUACGAGAGGACCGGAGUGGACGCAUCACUGGUGUUCGGGUUGUCAUGCCAAUGGCACUGCCCGGUAGCUAAAUGCGGAAGAGAUAAGUGCUGAAAGCAUCUAAGCACGAAACUUGCCCCGAGAUGAGUUCUCCCUGAGACUUUAGGUCUCCUGAAGGAACGUUGAAGACGACGACGUUGAUAGGCCGGGUGUGUAAGCGCAGCGAUGCGUUGAGCUAACCGGUACUAAUGAACCGUGAGGCUUAACCUUACA